ensembl:lncRNA
GCUCUCUUGUCCACUGUCUCUUUCUCAGCGCUUCUUUUUCUGGCUCGGCAUCAUGGCCACCCUCAGACCCCUUGUGAAGCCCAAGAUCAUCAAAAAAAGAACCAAGAAGUUCAUCCGGCACCAGUCAGACCAAUAUGUCAAAAUUAAGAGUCCUGCUCUUGUUGCCCAGGCUGGAGUGCAGUGGCGCAAUCUUGGCUCACUACAACCUCCGCCUCCCAGGUUCAAGCAAUUCUCCUGCCUCAGCCUCCCAAGUAGCUGGAAUUACAGGCAUGUGCCACCACGCCAGGAGACCAUCAGCUCCCUGCAGGCAGGGACAAUGGUCCAUCCAUCCACCUCGCCAGCAGGCCCUGGUUGAGCCACGCUUCCCCAGAGACCAGGCUGCAGGGUGUUCCUGAUGCCUGCUCCCAAGUUUACCGGCAGGGGGAAGCUGAAAGUCAGCGGACUCCAGAACCAGCCCUUCAACUCACUCUGUGCCAGCCGCACUGCCCACACUGUCCAGGUGCUGGAAAUCCCCUCCCUACAGUUUCUCCUGGCAUUGUAACCACCCCACAGCCCCCCAGGGAGCUCCUCACACUGGAAAAACAUUCCCAGGGCCCUGGCGACUCCAAAUUGGGAUGGCCACCAUCGAGGAUGUGCCCUCACCCCGGCGGGAAGGCACAGAGUGCUGCCUCGUUAAUACUCAUCACAACUUCACCAACGCCCACCUGGUGGUCUUCGGGGAUCAUUGGAGGAUGUGAAAGUAGAUGCACUAGGAUGUUAAAUAGUUCAACAGCAAGCAGCUCCUGCCAAGUGCUUAGCAGCUUUCUGCUCACUGGGGCAGUGGCGGCGCCAGUGCUGGCUCGAGGCCCGGCCACCUCUGCAGGACAGCUUGGGGACAGUCCAGGCCCACCACGUGGCCACCAGAGGCGGGGUGGUGCCUCUAACAAACUGGGGGACGGCACAUCUUCAUCCACGGACCAUCAGUUCCCAGCAAGGCCCUGAGAGGCUGGUGACUUAUUUCCUUAAUGCCACUGCUGCCCACAAUAUCCAGGGAGCUUGACUUUGGGACUCAAAUGUGUGUGUUUUCUCUCUCCCAAUCACUCCAGGCGUGGCAACUCCUCACCAGAAACUUGAAACUUGGCAAAAGUCACCUGAAGCCUUAGUCCAGGGAACUGGGAUCUGUGCAGCCACCUACAUUCAGGCUGCCCCCACCCCCGUCACAGGCUCCUGUUGGGAUGCUAUUUCUAAACCCCAGCCUUAGGCACUUCAGUGCUUUUGAAGAUUUUAAAUUGGCACGUACUGGGGUUGCAAACUCAACUGCCUGCUGAGGCUGGGAGUGGCCGGGCUAGGUGGGCCUGGGGCAAACUAGAGAGCCAGCCCGGCCCCUUCGAGGGGAUUGUGCCACUCAGUUCCAGCCCCAGACCUUGAUCGCCUCAAAUUUCAAACUUGGAAGUCAUCACAUAGGAUAAAGGCGGCCUGUGACCAACAUUGCCAGUUUGAGACCUGGGACCCGGGGGAACAAAAGGGGUCCUUGACCCCUAUCUCCUUUUUACCCCGUUAUCUGCCGCUUGCCCCUCAUACCCCACUCGCCCCCUUAAGAGGCUUUUCCUGCUCUGUGGCCAUCAUCUAGACUGAGACGUGGGUCUAGACUGAGUCCCUCAAAGGCAAGGUUUCUGGGUCCCAGGGAAUAGGACUCCCUAAUAAAUAUUCAUUGAAU